rnacentral:rRNA from 1 species
GUGAGGAAUUUUCCGCAAUGGGCGAAAGCCUUACCGAACAAUGCCCCGUGAAGGAAGAAGGCAUAUGGGUUGUAAACUUCUUUUCUUAGAGAAGAAUAUUGACAGUAUCCGAGGAAUAAGCUUCGGCUAACUCUGUGCCAGCAGCCGCGGUAAGACAGAGGAUGCAAGCGUUAUUCGGAAUUAUUGGGCGUAAAGGGUCUGUAGGUGGCGUGAAAAGUCACCUGUCAAAGCUCCGGGCUUAACCCUGGACCGGCAGGAGAAACUGCGAGGCUAGAGUGUGGAAGGGGCAGAGGGAAUUCCCGGUGGAGCGGUGAAAUGCGUAGAGAUCGAGAGGAACACCAAAGGUGAAAGCACUCUGCUGGGCCACAACUGACGCUGAGAGACGAAAGCGAGGGGAGCAAAAGGGAUUAGAUACCCGGGUAGUCC